CAGCAGCCGCGGUAAUACGGAGGGUGCAAGCGUUAAUCGGAAUUACUGGGCGUAAAGCGCGCGCAGGCGGUUUGUUAAGUCAGAUGUGAAAUCCCCGAGCUUAACUUGGGAACUGCAUUUGAAACUGGCAAGCUAGAGUCUUGUAGAGGGGGGUAGAAUUCCAGGUGUAGCGGUGAAAUGCGUAGAGAUCUGGAGGAAUACCGGUGGCGAAGGCGGCCCCCUGGACAAAGACUGACGCUCAGGUGCGAAAGCGUGGGGAGCAAACAGGAUUAGAUACCCCGGUAGUCCCUGUCUCUUAUAC
rnacentral:rRNA from 1 species